GUGUGCACUGCAGUGCCGACGACUAGCUAGCUACUCAGCUUCUGCUCAUCGUCAGGUUAGGUACGGUCCUUCGUUCGUUCCGGAGCUAGCUAGGUGGACCAAGAUGAGCUUCUUCUCCGGCGGCGGCAGCAAGAACCACCAGAGGACCUUCAGGGCGAAGAAGAGCCUGUCGUCGCCCGGGAACAAGGCAGGAACGUAAGAGUUGCUCUCUAAGCCAGAGGACUGUUUCCUUGGAACGCAUUUAGCUGCGGUUCUUGCAACGCCGGCCAAAACUCCAAGAGAAAAAGCUAGCUGUUAGUAGCUAGCUAGGGGGUUAAAUUGGAGCCAGCUGCUAGGAGAUAUAGUAGGAUUUUUUUACUUGGGGACCAUACAUGCAUCCGGCCAGAUUGUAGGCUGUCAGCUGCUCUGGGCCUAUAGUAGGAUUAAAUUAGAGUUGUAUCAAGAUCCAACUAAGGGCUAGCUAGCUUCUUCCCUAACCUAAUGGACCACACCGCGGUGUGCUGCUCUAAACUCCAUGUAUGCAUCACAAAAAAAAACAGAAACGGAGAAUAAAGGCAAUAUUAUUGGCA